AUGUGUGAUGCGGAGGGAAAGGCCUAUCCUCUCUGUUGAGGGGGAACACUGUGCCCUCUUGGUCUUAUAUUGAUAAUUAUCCAUUGCUACUAUCACCAUUCCACUGAGGAGGCCAUGGCCACACUGUGAAUAUACCUGUUUCUUAAUUUAGAUGUCAGGUUCUCUUAGAAAAACAACAUUCGUGGUUUUUCAGUUUAAAAAAGAUUCUAUGAUUUGCCAAUAGUUGAUGGAGAAUUUAUUAAAGAUUAGACAACUGCACAUGUGAUAGUAAAGAAGUAGUCUUUGAAGAAUGCAAGCUUGCAUCUACGCUGAGCCUUAUCUUUGGCCCUAUUUUCCACUUCCAAACAAUAAAACCACUUCCUAAUCUCUCCCAAAGGAGAGCACAGUCUUUAGGGCAUUAGCCUGCUGUGGCCGCCUUUGGCUGGCAAAACAACAAAGCUUUUUUUCCCUUUGCGCCCCCCCCCAUAAUCUUUGUAUUUAAUACAACUGUAUUACAAAUACAAGUUAAUUGUAUUUAAUAUAAAAUCCUACCAUCUAUGAAUAACAGAGCAUAGAAUCAAUGAAUUUUUUAUUGUUUUCCAGGACUCUCUCUUACCCCUCCCCGUUUUCUGUCAACAAAUAACUGAGGAAAGCAGUGGAAAAUACUGCUGUCUUUUUCAGAAAGGCCCUGAUUUCCCAUCCUUAUAAAACAAUUAACAGCCUUGAGGAUGAUAUAAUUAACACAAAUGACUGCUUUUUCUUCAUCCCUCAAAUAAUUAAGGUGUUCCUAAUCCCCACAGUAAAUCCCAAAAUAAAUAUUUCAAAAUAGCAUUGUUUAUUUGGCCUGUUUCUAAAAUCAGCAUGUAUUCACUUUUUUAAGUUAAAAAAAUUCAGAAAAGUAUAAAAAAUAAAAUAGAUGCAUCAUUAAUCUCACUACUAGAAACUACAGUGAACCAUUUAGUAUAUUUCCUUCCAAUUUUUUAUUAAUAUACAUGAAAUUACAUAUAUUUUGGGUCACAAAAUAUACAGUUGUCUACACACAAUAUGUUUUCAGCUAUUUUUACUUACAAUGCUAAGAACAUUUUACCAAGCCAUUAAAUGUUAUUUGAAAGUGAAAUAUUACACUGUUCUUCCAGUUUCCUACCAUAUGGAGCUGCCAUAAUUUAGCUAACUCUUCACCUAUGGUGGGACAUUUCAGUAGUUUUCCAUUUUUUUCUAAUAAGAUCCUAGGAUGAAAAAUAUUAGUUGAUUUAAGAGCUCUGCUUAGAGGAGGAACUGUCUGUACUCAGGAGACAACUGUGAGGAGCUGCUUCUAGUCAUCGAAGAACUCUAACAACAGGAAUAUCAAAUCCAGUUUUAAGUUGUGUUGCUGUGGUUUAAAACAGUCUCCGACCCAGUGGAACGGACCGUGCACCUCUGCUUUGCGAGAGCUCGGAUCUUGGGGAGAGCAUCCUUAGAAAUGCAACAGAAAUAUGCUACUACGUGAUCAUCAGCCCAGAAUCCACAAGAGUCUGAAGCAAUGAGAUUGAAAAGAUCAUAACUGCAGAUGCUGAGGCCUCCAAUGGCUGGAAAAAUCAACUGUAUGCUGCCCACAAGCAUGUAGACCCCCGACUGGUUGGAACCAGAAGGUUGAUGUUGGUGGUGCUGACCCCCAGUGACCUCGCCACCCACCAAUCAGGAAGACGUCCAUGAGCUGACCACGCCCUGCUCCUGGAACUACAGACGCCUGACUACCCGCUCCAAGGGGGCCACAGUCCUUGAGGCACGAGCCUGCCCUCUUUGCCUGGCAAUUAAAGCUACUUUUUCUGUUUCCUCCAACUCUGUCUCCACGUUUCUAUUUGUCAUCAGUAUAGAGAGGUAGCUGAUAUUUCGGCAACAAUACCAGUAAUAAUUUUGGGGUUAUUUUAAUGUGGGUGUCUUAGUUGCUUGACUGUGAGCUGAAGGGCAUUUGGAUGGAGGUGGUGUGGCUCUGUAACACACAAUGUGGUGGCACCAUCUUCUAGAUCUGGGGAGCCCUGGCAUGAAUUGGUAGGUCUAGGAUUGCAGGCUUAGUUAGAUACGGUUCAAAAUGAGGGAUGAGACCCUAUAUGCAGGAAGAUGCUUCAUGAGGCCAUCAUGAAGCUCUUCUUUGAAUCCUUGUAGCCUAUUAAGAUUUAAAUUCCUCAGGCUUCCACUAUUUUGUCUGGUAAACAUACAAAUAACCUCGCAUAGAUGUUGUCUUUAAUUUGGAUCUGUUUUUUCGAUUGUAAUAUGUGGGCACUGUUCGUAUCCAUGAACAUUCAUUUUAUAUUAAAUGUUUAAAAGUUAGUUUUUGCUGCUGUAUAUUUUUCACGCUCUAAUUAGGUAAGAAAUAAUAAAAUUUCCUAUAUGUAUUUUUUCCUUGAAGUUAGCCUGCUUUAUCAGUCAAGCAGUUCUUUUACUGACGAGAUGUCCGCAAUAGACUUUUCUUUAGGGCUGAUGACAAGAAAUAUGAUGGCCACGAAGAUUUUUUUUUCAUGUCCUCAGAAUGCCCUUUUCUAUUUCCAUGUGAAUCUCAUUCCAUAAGGGUUGAAGUAAUUAAUUAACUAAUUUGUAGGUAAUUCUUUCUGACAAGCUAGCCACCUACUUUAGAGGAAGUGUAAAAUGAGCAAUCUAGGAGACAUGCAUUAAAUUCAGUAAUUAAAUUAAAUACCAAAUCAAGGAUUUCCAGGGAUCAUAUUUCUUUUGCAAAGCAAACAGAUGUUUUAUAUAAUUAAUAAUUACACUGCAAUCAUUUAAUUGUAAAUAGUACCUGAUUUUAAAGGUAAUUUAUAAAACAAUGUUCAAUAUCAAAUGUACUUGUGUGUUAGAACCUGAGCAUUUCUCCCAUUAGAUUUUCAGAUGACGGUUUCUCCAUGGAUAUUAUUAAUGAGGAAAUUUUUUCUAGAGUGAAAAGAGACUUUUCCUCUUUCUAAACCUUAGAAGAGAGAAUAUACAGAGGAGUGUAUCAUGCAUACUAAUAUCCUGGGCUAUACUGGAGGUGCGAGAAGAAUCACCAUUUCUGAAAGAUGUUAUCACACAGGAGGAAAGUUAUUGCAGCCUGUCCCCACUGCAGGGGAAGCAUAACCCCAGCUUGGUGAUACAGUCAAAUGCAUCCUAUAUAAUGGUAAUUAGAGGCCACUGCAAGGAUCUCAGCCCCUUGGGAACAGGAGCUUCCUAUGGAAUUGUCACCCUUCCUAUUUUUGCCUGUCACACCUUUAUAUUCAAUGACCACAGUGGUGAGUGGUUCAGUCUGCAAGUGGGUGUUGAAUACUUGCAUCUACAAAUGAGGAAGGAGGUUUGGGUUGGCACUGCAUGUUUCAGAGAAGAGAUUCCCCAGGGAGAAGAGACAAAGUUCGAAGAGGAGAUAGAAGGUGGUGGCCUGAGGAAUGGUGCUUCACUGGUCGGGGAAGAGGAGUGUGGGAAGGAAACCACACAGGGCUGGGCAGAGCCUGAGAACACGGACAGGAGAGACGCUGCUAUGUCAGGCUUCUGACUGGGGAGAAGGAGGAAGGAGCAGGUGAGUUCUCAGGUCUGGGGCUGAGUCACCUCCACAAGGAGCAUCGCCUUCCUUUCCUGGAGGACAGAGCAGGAGGGGCCAGCCUACACAUGGGGACCGAGGUCUGUCUCAGCUUAAAGUAUCACAGAAAACCUUCUCAGGAGAUACAGACGGAUGUGAUGUCGCAGGUGGGAGCUUAAGAUAGGAAUGAAAAGAAUGAAAUAAUGCCAUCUGCAGCAACAUGGAUGGACCUAGGGAUGAUCAUACUAAGUGAAGUAAGUCAGACAAAGAGAGACAAAUAUCCUAUGAUAUUAU